GCCGAAAUAGCUCAGUUGGGAGAGCGUCAGACUGAAGAUCUGAAGGUCCCUGGUUCAAUCAAGAGAGUUUGUA
rnacentral:tRNA from 1 species